rnacentral:rRNA from 1 species
AGUGAACGCUGGCGGCGUGCCUAAUACAUGCAAGUCGAACGGAGAUUAAGUAGCUUGCUAUUUAAUCUUAGUGGCGCACGGGUGAGUAAUAUAUAGCUAACUUGCCCAUUACUAAGGGACAACAGUUGGAAACGACUGCUAAUACCUUAUACUCCGUAUCUAUAUAAGUAGAUACGGGAAAGUUUUUCGGUAAUGGAUAGGGCUAUAUCGUAUCAGCUAGUUGGUAAGGUAAUGGCUUACCAAGGCUAUGACGCGUAACUGGUCUGAGAGGAUGAUCAGUCACAGGGGAAAUGAGACACGGUCCAAACUCAUAAGGGAGGAAGGAGGAGGGAAAAUUGCUAAAGGGGGAAAACCCUGAAGAAGAAACGCCGGGGGGAGGAGGAAACUUUUCGGAGCGUAAACUCCUUUUUUUGGGAAAAAAUUAUGACGGUACCAAAGGAAAAAACACCGGCUAACUCCGU